rnacentral:rRNA from 1 species
AGUGAACGCUGGCGGUAGGCCUAACACAUGCAAGUCGAACGGCAGCACAGUAAGAGCUUGCUCUUACGGGUGGCGAGUGGCGGACGGGUGAGGAAUACAUCGGAAUCUACUUUUUCGUGGGGGAUAACGUAGGGAAACUUACGCUAAUACCGCAUACGACCUACGGGUGAAAGCAGGGGAUCUUCGGACCUUGCGCGAUUGAAUGAGCCGAUGUCGGAUUAGCUAGUUGGCGGGGUAAAGGCCCACCAAGGCGACGAUCCGUAGCUGGUCUGAGAGGAUGAUCAGCCACACUGGAACUGAGACACGGUCCAGACUCCUACGGGAGGCAGCAGUGGGGAAUAUUGGACAAUGGGCGCAAGCCUUAUCCAGCCAUACCGCGUGGGUGAAGAAGGCCUUCGGGUUGUAAAGCCCUUUUGUUGGUAAAGAAAAGCAGCAGGUUAAUACCCCGCUGUUCUGACGGUACCCAAAGAAUAAGCACCGGCUAACUUCGUG